AUGAAAGACAUUAAACAACAAAUUCUUAUUUCAUUUUAUUUAUUUAUUUAUUUAUUUAUUUAUUUAUUUAUUUAUUUAUUUUUGAGACAGAGUCUCGCUCUGUCGCCCAGGCUGGAGUGCAGUGGCGCAAUCUCGGCUCACUGCAAGCUCCGCCUCCUGGGUUCACGCCAUUCUCCUGCCUCAGCCUCUCCGAGUAGCUGGGACUACAGGCGCCCGCCACCACGCCCGGCUAAUUUUUUGUAUUUUUAGUAGAGAUGGUUUCACUGUGGUCUCGAUCUCCUGACCUCGUGAUCCGCCCGCCUUGGCCUCCCAAAGUGCUGGGAUUACAAGCAUGAGCCACCGCGCCCGGCCACAACAAAUUCUUAUGCUUCUACUCUGUGUCCUGCUCUGUUCUUGACUCUGAAAAUACAGCAGAGAGGAAAACUGACAAAGCAUUUUCCCUAAUGGAGUUUAUAUUCUCAUAGAGAAAAUUAUAAAAUAUUAUUAAAGGACAUCAAAUAAAUGCAAUGACAUACGAUGUUCAUGGAUGGGAAGGCUCAAUAUCAGAAAGAUGUGUAUUUUCCCCAAUCCAAUCAGGAUUUUUGAGAAAUCUUGUCAAAAUCAAAAGAACAAUGUGUAUACAUUGGGGCAAGGAGACACUUCUCUGCCUACCAAGCCAAUGAGGAGUAGAGCUUCAAAACAGACACGGGAGAGUGUGUGUGUGUGUGUGUGUGUGUUUGUGUGUGUGUGUAUAUACUUGAUGUAUAAUAGAGGUGGCAUUAUAAAUCACUGGGGAAGAAAUAGAGGACUCAGUAAAUGGCACUGAGAAUUUACUUUCCAUAGGGUUGAAAAAUAGAUGCCUAAUUAAAUGGAUUAAAUAAAUAUAACAAAUAUUUAAGACAUAUACAUGUUAUAUUUAUUAUCUUGGGGUGGGAAAGGACUUCUUAGAUAAACAAUAAUAAAGCACUACUCAUAAAGGAAAAAGAUGAUCUGUGACUACCUCAAAAUUUAAACUGCCAGGCCGGGUGCGGUGUCUUACACCUGUAAUCUCAGCUCUUUAGGAGGCCGAGGCAGGCAGAUCACGAGGUCAACAGAUUGAGACCUGGCCAACAUGGUGAAAUCCCGUCUCUACUAAGAAUAAAAAAAUUAGCUGGGUAUGGUGGCACAUGCCUGUAAUCCCAGCUACUCGGGAGGCUGAGGCAGGAGAAUCACUUGAACCCAGGAGGCAGAGGUUGCAGUGAGCCGAGAUCAUGCCACUGCACAAAAGACAUGGUAAAUCUGAUUAAAAGAUAAGCUACAGACUGGGAGAAAACAUCUACAACAUAUAUAACAAAGGAUUGGUGCUCAAGGAACUCCGUCAGACCAUUAAGGAAAAGAUAUCCUCACCCUCACCCCUACAAAAGAAAAGAAAAAUGGGCAAAGGAUAUAAAUAGGGAAUUUUCAGCAGAAGAAACUCAAAUGGCCAGUAAGUCAAUUGAGAAAUGUAAAUAAAAAUAAUCAUAUGAUUUGAAAUACACCAACUAUACAAAAAUAAAAUAUGUCAAUGUUUUUUAUGAGGUCAGAUGUUAGUGAGGACGUGGGGAAACGGGAGCCUUUACGUGCUAUUCACACCUUGGGAGGCAAUUUGGCAAUAUCUCAUAAAGUUGAAAAUGCACACACCUUACAACCCAGAUAUUCCACUACUAGACAAUAUCCUAUAGGCCCACAUCUCCAUGGAAUACCUUUCAUCUUGUAGUUAAUGUGCAAGGUGACAACCUUCCUAAAGAAAUUUUUACAUCACUACAUAGGUCAUAUGUAUAAGGAUGUUGUUUGCAAUGUUCUUGAUAACAGCAGAAAAUAUUAGAAACAAUCUAAAUGUCCACUAGUAGGGUGAUAGAUGAAUAAAAUGGGAUAUAUUCUUUUUUUUUUUUUUUUUUUGAGACAGAGUUUUGCCCUUGUCACCCAGGCUGGAGUGCAAUGGUGCGAUCUUGGCUCACUGCAACCUCCACAUCCUGGGUUCAAGUGAUUCUCCUGCCUCAGCCUCCCAAGUAGCUAGGAUUACAGGGACCCACCACCGUGCCCAGCUAAUUUUUGUAUUUCUAGUAGAGACGGUUUUGCCAUGUUGGCCAGGCUGGUCUCGAACUCCUGACCUCAGGCAAUCCACUGGCCUCGGCCUUCCAAAGUGCUGGGAUUACAGGUGUGAGCCACCACACCCGGCCAAUAUAUUCUAAUAAUAAAAUACCAUACAGUGAUAAGAAUGAUCCAGAUUUAUAUCGGUAUGUACAUAUCCCCAAAACCUAUUGUUGAGUAAAUAAAGUUGUAGAAUGAGAAAUGUUUUUUUAAGGUUACCAUUUGUGUUAAUUAUAAACACAUAUAAAAGUAUAUUUCAUAUUAUUUUGUAUGUAUAGGUAGUAAGAGUUUAAAAAUACAGACUCAAAAGAUAUGCACCAUAGCCAGUCCUCGUGAGUAUAGUGACCUACGGAGGGGUUUUUUCCUCCCUGUUUCAUAGAUUAUGAAACUGAGGCCCAGAGAAGUUAAAAGACUUGCUCAAAGUCAGUGGCCGAAACCACAUCUCACAAGGCCUCUUUGUGUGCCAUGCUAAGCAGGUUGGACAUUUUCCUAAAGGUGUUGGAUCUCGCUCUGUCGUCCAAGCUGAAGUACAGUGAUGUGAUCACAGGUCACUGCUGCCUCAACCUCAAGCAAUCCUCCCACCUCGGCCUCCCAAGUAGCUGGGGCUACAGGUUUGUGCCACCACACCUGGCUAAUUUUUUGUUUUAGUUUGCUUGUUUGUAGAGACGAAAUUUCGCCAUGUUGCCCAGGCUGGUCUCCAACUCCUGGGCUCAAGCGAUUUUCCUGCUUCAGCCUCCCAAAGUGCUGGGGUUACAGGCAUGAGCCACCAUACCCAGCUUCAGCAUUUCUUUACAGCAUCCAUGGGUCGGGCAUUUGGGGAAACUUAAGUCAGCACAUCUUUGGCACAAUUUUCUACAUAUAGCUCAGUGCCCAAUAAACAUGUGUUGAAUUGGCAAACACCCCUGCUUUCAUUUCUGUGACACAGAUAGUGACUUUCAAGGCAGGAAGCCUGGGGGCCAUCCUAAAAUUCCUUCCUUCCCCCCACAUCCAAUCAAUCUGCAAGUCCUUUCAGCUGCCCUGCCAAAAUAUUCAUAUAUGCUGAGCCCAUCCCCUUCUUUCCAGCUUCUCGGGUCCCACUCUGUCCCAGGGCACUGUCACCUCUUACCUGAGCUGCUGCAGUGGCCCCCAUAAAGGAAAGGGUCAGUGAGGGGUCGAAGUAUUUGACUUAAAUAAAUCAGAUGACCUGGCCUCCCAGGUUAAAUUUUCCUGUUGGAUUUUUAUCAGACAUAAGAGAAGAAAAAUUUUAACUCCCAAUCAUGGCCAUAUGUGCUCCUGCAUGCUCCGGCCCCGAACCGUCCUCUUAACACUUCCUGUAGCUCCCUCUACUCCAGUCCCACUGGCUUUUUACAGAGGCCAAGCUAUUCCCAUCUUAGGGCUUUUGCCCAUGCUCUUCCUUCUGCUGGAAAUACUCUCUCCACUCUUUUUCUUUUUCGUGUGUGUAAUUUUUUAUUUUUUUGAGACAAGGUCUCGCUCUGUCACGCAGUCUUGAGUGCAGUGGUGCGCUCAUGACUCACUGCAGCCUCCACCGCCUGGGCUCAAGUGAUCCUCCCACUUCAGCUUCCUGAGUAGCUGGGACUACAGGUCCCAGCUAAUUUUUUUUUUUUUUUUUUUUUUGUAAAAACAGGGUCUGCCUAUGUUUCCCAGGCUGGUCUCAAACUCCUGGGCUCACACAGUCCUCCUGCCUUGGCCUCCCAAAGUUCCGGGAUUAUAGACCUGAGCCAUCAUACCCAGCCAAAUUUCUUUUAGAGAUGGGGUUUUAGUAUAUUGCUUAAGCUGGUCUCAAACUCCUGGGCUCAAUUGAUCCUCCCGCCUCAGCAUCCCCAUGUGUUGGGAUUAUAGGCAUGAGCCACCGCGCCUGGCUUUCCACUCUUUGGGUCUUUCUUAUAUAUCACCUCUCAGCUCAAAUGCCACUUAUUCAGAGAGGUUCUCCCUGUCUGCUUUGUUUCCUUCAUAGAAAAUUGGGACCAUUUGUAAAUAAUUUAUUUAUCUGUUUGCUUAUUUUGUUUGCCUUCCCUCCUAGAUCUCAGAUGUCUAAUAUGUAGCUACUAGCUGCAUAUGGCUAGUAAGCAUUUGGAAUGUGACUUGUCUGAAUUGAGAUGUGCUGUAAAUGUAAAAGACACCAGAUUUUGAAGAGUUAAUACAAUUUAAAAAUGAUAUAAAAUGUCUCAUUUAUAGUUUUAAAAUACUAUAUGUUGAAAUGAUAUUUUGGAUAUAUUGGGUCAAAUAAAAAUAUUAUCAACAAUUAACUUGUUUCUACUUUUUAAAUGUGGCUGCACAUGUGGCUGGCAUUAUAUUUCAUUUGGACAAUGCUGGUCUAUACCGUUAGCUAAUGAAGGUAGGAACAAUCUCUACCCACUGCUGUGUCCCUAGUCUCUAUCAUAUACUAGAUGCUCAGUAAGUAUUUACUGAAUAAUUUAGUAUUUAUGAGAACUCUGGGCUUUUAUGAGAGCUGAGACAGGCAGCCCCAUGUAUGCUAUGAACUUGAGGGAGGAAGAAACAGGAAAGAAACAGUUUUUCUCCAAUCACUGUAUUUCAAAGGGCUUUGUGGAUUCUCUCUGUCCUGCUCUCUAUCCACAAUCCC